rnacentral:rRNA from 1 species
GUAGGGAAUAUUGGGCAAUGGUCGGAAGACUGACCCAGCCAUGCCGCGUGCAGGAAGACGGCCCUCUGGGUUGUAAACUGCUUUUAUCUGGGAAGAAAAAGGCCAUGCGUGGCAAAUUGCCGGUACCAGAUGAAUAAGCACCGGCUAACUCCGUGCCAUCAGCCGCGGUAAUACGGAGGGUGCGAGCGUUGUCCGGAUUUAUUGGGUUUAAAGGGUGCGUAGGCGGCUGAUUAAGUCAGCGGUGAAAGACUGCGGCUUAAGCGGGGCAGGGCCGUUGAUACUGGUUGGCGUGAGUGUCGGAGGGGUACAUGGAAUUGAUGGUGUAGCGGUGAAAUGCAUAGAUACCAUCAGGAACACCGAUAGCGAAGGCAUUGUACUGGCCGACAACUGACGCUGAUGCACGAAAGUGUGGGGAUCGAACAGGAUUAGAAACCCCUGUAGUCC